UGCAAGUCGUACGCGACUUUCUCGAUUAGCAAUAAUUGAGGAAGUUGAGUGGCGAAAGGGUGCGUAACACGUGGGUAAUCUACCGGAAAGUGUGGAAUAGCUCGGCGAAAGCCGGAUUAAUACCGCAUGUGGUCAGUGAAGUCAUCUUCACAACACUAAAGCCGGGGCAACCUGGCGCUUCUUGAUGAGCCCGCGGCCUAUCAGCUAGUUGGUGAGGUAACGGCCCACCAAGGCUAUGACGGGUAGCUGGUCUGAGAGGACGACCAGUCACACUGGAACUGAGACACGGUCCAGACACCUACGGGUGGCAGCAGUCGAGAAUUUUUCUCAAUGGGGGCAACCCUGAAGGAGCGACGCCGCGUGGAGGAUGAAGGCUUUCGGGUUGUAAACUCCUGUCAUUUGAGAACAAGUGCCAACAAAUAACUACUGUUGGCUUGAUAGUAUCAGAAGAGGAAGGGACGGCUAACUCUGUGCCAGCAGCCGCGGUAAUACAGAGGUCCCAAGCGUUGUUCGGAUUCAUUGGGCGUAAAGGGUGCGUAGGUGGCGCCGUCAGUGGGGUGUGAAAUUCCGGAGCUUAACUCCGAAACUGCAUUCCAUACUGCGGUGCUUGAGGACUGGAGAGGAGACUGGAAUUUACGGUGUAGCAGUGAAAUGCGUAGAGAUCGUAAGGAAGACCAGUGGCGAAGGCGGGUCUCUGGACAGUUCCUGACACUGAGGCACGAAGGCAGGGGAGCAAACGGGAUUAGAUACCCCGGUAGUCCUGGCAGUAAACGGUGCACGUUUGGUGUGGGAGGAUUCGACCCCUUCCGCGCCGGAGCUAACGCGUUAAACGUGCCGCCUGGGGAGUACGGUCGCAAGAUUAAAACUCAAAGAAAUUGACGGGGGCCCGCACAAGCGGUGGAGUAUGUGGCUUAAUUCGAUGCAACGCGAAGAACCUUACCUGGCCUUG
rnacentral:rRNA from 1 species